GACGAACGCUGGCGGCGUGCUUAACACAUGCAAGUCGAACGGAAAGGCCCUGCUUUUGUGGGGUGCUCGAGUGGCGAACGGAUGAGUAACACGUGAGUAACCUGCCCUUGACUUUGGGAUAACUUCAGGAAACUGGGGCUAAUACCGGAUAGGAGCUCCUGCUGCAUGGUGGGGGUUGGAAAGUUUCGGCGGUUGGGGAUGGACUCGCGGCUUAUCAGCUUGUUGGUGGGGUAGUGGCUUACCAAGGCUUUGACGGGUAGCCGGCCUGAGCGGGUGACCGGCCACAUUGGGACUGAGAUACGGCCCAGACUCCUACGGGAGGCAGCAGUGGGGAAUAUUGCACAAUGGGCGGAAGCCUGAUGCAGCAACGCCGCGUGCGGGAUGACGGCCUUCGGGUUGUAAACCGCUUUCGCCUGUGACGAAGCGUGAGUGACGGUAAUGGGUAAAGAAGCACCGGCUAACUACGUG
rnacentral:rRNA from 1 species